GACGUCAAGUCCUCAUGGCCCUUAUGGGUAGGGCUUCACACGUCAUACAAUGGUCGGUACAGAGGGUUGCCAACCCGCGAGGGGGAGCUAAUCCCACAAAGCCGAUCGUAGUCCGGAUCGCAGUCUGCAACUCGACUGCGUGAAGUCGGAAUCGCUAGUAAUCGUGGAUCAGCAUGUCACGGUGAAUACGUUCCCGGGUCUU
rnacentral:rRNA from 1 species